rnacentral:rRNA from 1 species
GUAUUCUUUUUGCCAGCGCUUAAUUGCGCGGCGAAAAAACCUUACACACAGUGUUUUUUGUUAUUACAAGAACUUUUGCUUUGGUCUGGACUAGAAAUAGUUUGGGCCAGAGGUUUACUGAACUAAACUUCAAUAUUUAUAUUGAAUUGUUAUUUAUUUAAUUGUCAAUUUGUUGAUUAAAUUCAAAAAAUCUUCAAAACUUUCAACAACGGAUCUCUUGGUUCUCGCAUCGAUGAAGAACGCAGCGAAAUGCGAUAAGUAAUAUGAAUUGCAGAUUUUCGUGAAUCAUCGAAUCUUUGAACGCACAUUGCGCCCUCUGGUAUUCCAGAGGGCAUGCCUGUUUGAGCGUCAUUUCUCUCUCAAACCUUCGGGUUUGGUAUUGAGUGAUACUCUUAGUUGAACUAGGCGUUUGCUUGAAAUGUAUUGGCAUGAGUGGUACUGGAUAGUGCUAUAUGACUUUCAAUGUAUUAGGUUUAUCCAACUCGUUGAAUAGUUUAAUGGUAUAUUUCUCGGUAUUCUAGGCUCGGCCUUACAAUAUAACAAACAAGUUUGACCUCAAAUCAGGUAGGA